UUCACUUGUUGAUGUGUGAACUUGUGAUAGUGAAAUUAAUCCAAACUACGAGAGGGUGAGAACUAAAGCUAAGUAAACUCAUAAUUUUUAAACACAACCCGGGAUAAUUGAGUGAAAAGAAUAAGUUUGGGGGGUUGUGUAUCUCUCGAGCGAGUAAGGAGACAUUUGACCACUUGGAGUCGGGACUCAAACUCAUCAUGAACUUGAUAUGUUAGCAUGAAUCCACACAUACACACGUCAAGUAUGCAUUUAACAGGU
rnacentral:lncRNA from 1 species